rnacentral:rRNA from 1 species
GACGAACGCUGGCGGCGCGCCUAACACAUGCAAGUCGAACGAGCGAGAGAGAGCUUGCUUUCUCGAGCGAGUGGCGAACGGGUGAGUAACGCGUGAGGAACCUGCCUCAAAGAGGGGGAUAACACCUGGAAACAGAUGCUAAUACCGGAUAACAACACUAGACGCAUGUCUAGAGUUUGAAAGAUGGUUCUGCUAUCACUCUUGGAUGGACCUGCGGUGCAUUAGGCUAGUUGGUAAGGUAACGGCUUACCAAGGCAAUGAUGCAUAGCCGAGUUGAGAGACUGAUCGGCCACAUUGGGACUGAGACACGGCCAA